rnacentral:rRNA from 1 species
GACGAACGCUGGCGGCGUGCUUAACACAUGCAAGUCGAACGGAAAGGCCCUGCUUUUGUGGGGUGCUCGAGUGGCGAACGGGUGAGUAACACGUGAGUAACCUGCCCUUGACUUUGGGAUAACUUCAGGAAACUGGGGCUAAUACCGGAGAGGAGCUCCCGCUGCAUGGUGGGGGUUGGAAAGUUUCGGCGGUUGGGGAUGGACUCGCGGCUUAUCAGCUUGUUGGUGGGGUAGUGGCUUACCAAGGGUUUGACGGGUAGCCGGCCUGAGAGGGUGACCGGGCACAAUGGUACUGAGAUACGGACCAGACUCCUACGGGAGGCAGUAGUCGGGAGUAUGGCCCAAUGGGGGGAAGCCUGAUGCAGCAACGCCGCGUGCGGGAUGACGUCCUUCGGGUUGUAAACCGCUUUCGCCUGUGACGAAGCGUGAGUGACGGUAAUAGGUAAAGAAGCACCGGCUAACUACGUG